rnacentral:rRNA from 1 species
CCUACGUGUGGCAGCAGUGAGGAAUAUUGGUCAAUGGGCGAGAGCCUGAACCAGCCAAGUCGCGUGAGGGAAGACGGUCCUAUGGAUUGUAAACCUCUUUUGCCGGGGAGCAAAAAGCGGUACGUGUACCGCAUCGUGAGUACCCCGUGAAAAAAGAUCGGCUAAGUCGGUCCCAUCAGCCGGGGUAAUACGGAGGAUGCGAGGGUUAUCCGGAUUUAUUGGGUUUAAAGGGUGCGCAGGCGGCGAGUUAAGUCAGCGGGAAAAUUUCGGGGCUCAACCCCGACGGGCCGUUGAAACUGGCUGGCUAGAGUGGGCGAGAGGUAUGCGGAAUGCGUGGUGUAGCGGUGAAAUGCAUAGAUAUCACGAAGAACUCCGAUUGCGAAGGCAGCGUGCCGUGCCGCCACUGACGCUGAGGCACGAAAGCGCGGGGAUCGAACAGGAUUAGAUACCCCUGUAGUC